AUUGAACGCUGGCGGCAUGGUUAAAACAUGCAAGUCGAACGCGAAAGCACUUCGGUGCAAGUAGAGUGGCGAAAGGGCGAGGAAUAAGUACCUAACGUGCCUUCAGGUAAGGGAUAGCUCAUGGAAACGUGUGGUAAUACCUUAUAAUCUCACUGGUCCAUAUGGACUUUUGGGCAAAGGCUUGCUGCCCUGGGAUCGGGGAACGUGCUAUCAGGUUGUUGGUGAGGUAACGGCUCACCAAGCCUAAGACGGCUAGCGGGUGUGAGAGCACGACCCGCCGCAUCGGGACUGAGACACUGCCCGGACUCCUACGGGAGGCUGCAGUAACGAAUAUUCCGCAAUGCGCGAAAGCGUGACGGAGCAAUGCCGCGUGCAGGAUGAAGCCCCUCGGGGUGUAAACUGCUGUCAGGGUUUAGAAACACAAUGAUCAGACCCAAAGGAAGAGCCGGCUAACUCUGUGCCAGCAGCCGCGGUAAUACAGAGGGCUCAAGCGUUAAUCGGAAUUACUGGGCUUAAAGGGUACGCAGGCGGACCUGUAAGUAUCGUGUGAAAUCCCACAGCUCAACUGUGGAACUGCUCGGUAUACUGUAGGUCUUGAGAUCGGUAGGGGCAAUCGGAACUCUAGGUGGAGCGGUGAAAUGCGUAGAUAUCUAGAGGAACGCCAAAGGCGAAGGCAGAUUGCUGGGCCGAUUCUGACGCUCAGGUACGAAAGCGUGGGUAGCGAACGGGAUUAGAUACCCCGGUAGUCCACGCCCUAAACGAUGUGCACUAGAUCGAGAGAGCUCUGACGUUAGCUCGGUCGAAGGAAAACUGUUAAGUGCACCGCCUGGGGAGUACGGUCGCAAGAUUAAAACUCAAAGGAAUUGACGGGGGCUCACACAAGCGGUGGAGCAUGUGGCUUAAUUCGAAUCAACGCGAAGAACCUUAUCCUGGGAUUGACAUGUAUGAAUUAAUUAUGUGAAAGCAUAAUGACGCAGUUUACUGUGGAACGUCGAUAGGUGCUGCAUGGCUGUCGUCAGCUCGUGCUGUGAAGUGUCGGGUUAAGUCCUUUAACGAGCGAAACCCCUGCCGUUAGUUGCUAACAGGUAAUGCUGAGGACUCUAGCGGGACUGCCGGUGUCAAACCGGAGGAAGGUGGGGAUGACGUCAAGUCCUCAUGGCCUUUAUGUCCAGGGCUGCACACGUGCUACAAUGGCGUAUACAGAGCGACGCGAGACCGCAAGGUGGAGCAAAUCGCAAAAAGUACGCCCCAGUUCGGAUUGGGGUCUGCAACUCGACCCCAUGAAGUUGGAAUCGCUAGUAAUCGCGUAUCAGCUACGACGCGGUGAAUACGUUCCUGAGCC
rnacentral:rRNA from 1 species